AAAAAAAAAGUAGAAAAGAGACAAAAUCUACAUUGUAGAUGAAAAAUCAUAGGAAAAAGGUUUUGUGUUUAUUAGCCAAGAACAACUACAAUCUCAUUUUCUGCUUUUAAGAAAGGAGAGUUCUGUGUGUUGGUUAAGCAGUGAGAAUAAUGAUCAAAAUGUCUCAGUGUGUCACUUGCAGGUGAGGAGCAGACCCGGAUCAAUUUCCCAUAUGCAGCGGUCGGACAAAAGUUAUAGUUUAACAUCAUUGGAAACAUUCAGGCCAAUUUCUGGCUAACUUAUUUACAGCUCCAUGUGUCCCUCAUCCUCACAAGUGAGCUCUCACUCCUCCCUGAAGACAAGGAAUGCAGUUCCAAGAGCAAUAACAUGGCAGAUAAAGAGACAGCAGCAAAGUCCUGAGCAAAGAGUCCCAGCAAGCAGCAGCAGUGUGGACAAACAGCAGUGGAGAAGAAAAGCAAACCCAUCAUCCUGACUGAUUGGAUGAAUGACACUGUGUUUCCAACAAGCUGCAAAGUUCACUGUGCAUGUGAAAAGGACGUUUGAGGAGAACUGAGGAGACUGUUGGAGUUUGACAUUUGCCACUUUCGGAGCAAGAUGGCAAGAAGAGACAGUGGAACACAGGACAAAGCUGAAGAAGAACUGCCGGCUAUUGGACUGUUGAAGUGGGAGAGGACAACAGAGUGAGAGUAAGUAAGGACACAGAGGAAAGCUGUUGUUUAAUGUGGGAAAUCAAAAUUUGGGUUAGUAAACCUGGGGAAAAGAGAACUGACUGCUUAAGUGGAAGAUUGUGAAGGAAUCUGAAACACUGCGAAAAGAAACAUAUACAAAAUCACACACACAAGCAGAACAUGCAUUAACCCUACUAACACAAACACAAGAGAGCCCAUGAAGAUUAGACAACAUCUUAAGCAUGUGAGUCUGUUUAUCAUCUCGUCCAAGUCACUUCGUGUGAUGAGAAGUGAUGCAAAGAUCAGUGGACUCAUAGCACAUUGGUUACAAAAUGAUGAUCAAAUAAUAGCAGAGAAGUGUGUAGGAAAGGCAGCUUUAAGAACAUGCCCUGCUGGAGAUGUAGCUCCAGACACAUUGAUUAAACCUGCCUAAUAAC
ensembl:lncRNA